CUGGAAUUUCAAACGGACAACAUUACUGCAGUAUUUUCAGUGUACAUGCUUAACUGGUGAAAUAUUCUUGGUCAAAGGCCUCCCGCGGAAUAAGGAAAAAUCGAGUCUGUUUUUUCGUAAAAGCCUGUGCAUCAAAUGAUGCACAUACCCAUAAAACAUUAAAUUCUGGAUCUAGGUCAGCUGGUUGGUCAGAGGAAGAAAGCAGAACACAUGAAUGAAAGUGGAGAGGACAAAGAAAGACGUGUGGAUUCUCAUGUGUGGAUUCUCAUAGUUGAUGUAAAUAAGUAUUAUGGGGAUUCUCAUAGUUGGAGAAAAUAAGUAUUAUGCGGAUUCUCAUGGUUGGAGUUAA